rnacentral:rRNA from 1 species
AGAGUUUGAUCAUGGCUCAGAAUGAACGUUGGCGGCGUGGAUUAGGCAUGCAAGUCGAGCGAGAAGUUUUAAAAAGAUACCUCGGUUGAUUUUUAAGAUGGACAGCGGCGAAAGGGAGAGUAACGAGUAGAUACGUACCCAGGGGUUCGGAAUAGCGGGGGGAAACCGCCGGUAAUGCCGAAUAAUGUCUCCGGACCAAAGAUUUAUUGCCCUUGGAUCGGUCUGCUUACUAUUAGCUUGUUGGUGGGGUAAUAGCCUACCAAGGCGAAGAUGGUUAGCGGGUGUGAGAGCAUGGCCCGUCUCACUGGGACUGAGACACUGCCCAGACACCUGCGGGUGGCUGCAGUCGAGAAUCUUCCGCAAUGGACGAAAGUCUGACGGAGCGACGCCGCGUGCGGGAUGAAGGCCUUCGGGUUGUAAACCGCUGUCAGAGGGGAGCAAAUUUUGAGCGAUCCUCAGAGGAAGCACAGGCUAAGUUCGUGCCAGCAGCCGCGGUAAUACGAACUGUGCGAACGUUAUUCGGAAUCACUGGGCUUAAAGGGUGCGUAGGCGGGUUUAAAGGUCUGAUGUGAAAGCCCACGGCUCAACCGUGGAAUUGCGUUGGAAACCAUGAACCUUGAGGAGAUCAGA